CUACGGGCGGCUCCAGGCGAGAAAACUUUGCAAUGUGCGAAAGCACGACAAGGUUAAUCCGAGUGGUUUGUGCUAAACGAACCUUUUGACAGUCCUAGAAACACUGUUGAAUAAGGGGUGGGCAAGUUCUGGUGGUCAGCCGCCGCGGUAAAACCAGCUCCUCAAGUGGUCAGGAUGAUUAUUGGGCCUAAAGCAUCCGUAGCCGGCUCUGUAAGUUUUCGGUUAAAUCUGUACGCUCAACGUACAGGCUGCCGGGAAUACUGCAGAGCUAGGGAGUGGGAGAGGUAGACGGUACUCGGUAGGAAGGGGUAAAAUCCUUUGAUCUAUUGAUGACCACCUGUGGCGAAGGCGGUCUACCAGAACACGUCCGACGGUGAGGGAUGAAAGCUGGGGGAGCAAACCGGAUUAGAUACCCCUGUAGUC
rnacentral:rRNA from 1 species